rnacentral:rRNA from 1 species
AGAGUUUGAUCCUGGCUCAGGACGAACGCUGGCGGCGUGCUUAACACAUGCAAGUCGAACGGUAAGGCCCUUCGGGGUACACGAGUGGCGAACGGGUGAGUAACACGUGGGUAAUCUGCCCUGCACAUCGGGAUAAGCCUGGGAAACUGGGUCUAAUACCGAAUAGGACCACAGGACACAUGUCCUGUGGUGGAAAGCUUUUGCGGUGUGGGAUGGGCCCGCGGCCUAUCAGCUUGUUGGUGGGGUGAUGGCCUACCAAGGCGACGACGGGUAGCCGGCCUGAGAGGGUGUCCGGCCACACUGGGACUGAGAUACGGCCCAGACUCCUACGGGAGGCAGCAGUGGGGAAUAUUGCACAAUGGGCGGAAGCCUGAUGCAGCGACGCCGCGUGGGGGAUGACGGCCUUCGGGUUGUAAACCUCUUUCACCAUCGACGAAGGUCCGGGUUUUCUCGGGCUGACGGUAGGUGGAGAAGAAGCACCGGCCAACUACGUGCCAGCAGCCGCGGUAAUACGUAGGGUGCGAGCGUUGUCCGGAAUUACUGGGCGUAAAGAGCUCGUAGGUGGUUUGUCGCGUUGUUCGUGAAAUCUCACGGCUUAACUGUGAGCGUGCGGGCGAUACGGGCAGACUUGAGUACUGCAGGGGAGACUGGAAUUCCUGGUGUAGCGGUGGAAUGCGCAGAUAUCAGGAGGAACACCGGUGGCGAAGGCGGGUCUCUGGGCAGUAACUGACGCUGAGGAGUGAAAGCGUGGGGAGCGAACAGGAUUAGAUACCCUGGUAGUCC